AGUCUGAUGGGCAACAGCCAGGCUGAGGGGCAUCUACUGGCCUCUCACAAGUCUAGAGGCUUCCAUUUCCAGAGAGGGGAAGAUCAAAAACACCCCGGAGUGACCUGCCCGUCAGGCAGCUCAUGAAAUCCUGGGGUCAUGGGAUGAGAGCUCUGAUGAGUGAAACCUUUGCUGAUUUCAGGACCAUAUCUACCAUCAUAUUAAUGACUCCUUUCUGGAAAAUGCCCUCACCCACCUGCCUCUCAGUCUGUAUCCUAGAGGGCUGCUGGCUUCAGGUUUCAAACACUGACUUCCAAAUAAGCGGAAUCUCUUCACUGCCUCUUCAUCUUGCAUGCUUUGAUGAAGCAAGCUGCCAUGCUGGAGAGGACUAAUGUGGCAAGAAACUGAGCGUGGUCUCUGGCCAACAGCUAGAAAGGAACCGAGGUCCUCAGUCCAACAACCUGUGAGGAAAAAAUCCAGCCAACAACUAUGUGAACUUGGAAGUAGAUCCUUCCUUAGUCAAAUCUUCAACUAGUCAUAGGAAGACCCACAGAUGGAGGAAGGGCCCACGAGCCGAGGAAUGCAAGGAAUGCAGCUCUAGAAGCUGGAAGAGAUUAGGAGAUGAUUCUCCACUGGAGCCUUCAGAGGGAGUUUGGACCUGCUGACAAAUUGAUUUUGCCCCAGUAAAAAUGAUUUCAGACUUGUGGCCUCCCAGACCACGACAAUAUGUGUGUGUUGUUUAAGCCACCAUGUCUGUGGGGGCUUUGUUACAGCAACUGUAGUCUACUGCAUGGCGAAAUUGUUCCCAGUUCCACAUCUUGCCACAUAAUCCACUCAGCAAAAUGCUCCAUCACGCAGUUAACUGUCUGAAUUGUCUGCUCAGAUGGUACGUUGUAGAAAAGGCAAUUUUCUACCCAGAUCAAGAUUUGGCAGACCACCAGGAAGAUUUAAAGGUUACA